UUCCGAAAUUUUAAACCUCACUUCCGGAAAUCGACCCUUCGAAAUCUGGGAUGCCAUCCCUGCCGGCGGCCCCUUCCCGGGAUGGUUCCAUACUAAAAAAGAAUGAAAAAACGCCAUACGCCGAACCCUAAACACUCAUUUCCUCGCUUCUUUCUAAUCUAUUCUUCUUCAACCACAAAACCCCUUCCGUCUACACUGAAGAAUUUUCUCUCUUCGCCGUCGUUGCUUCCAGAAUAAUCGCUCCCUUCUCUCUGUUCACUGAUGAUAAUUGGAAAUUAUGAAAAAGGAUUUUGAAUGUUUCUUUGAUUCCAAGUGCCGUAGAAGAUACCAUUGAUGGGAAUACCAUGGAUCAUAAAAAAGAUACCAUUGAAGGCUAUACCAUUGAAGGAGAUAUAGUUGGACAAAUGAUUGAAACAUGUCUAUUGGAUUGGGGAAUUGAGAAGCAUAGACUUGGAGGCGUAUAAUUCUAAAGCAGCAACACCAACCAAAGCAAAGAAAAUGGUGUACACAUAAAUUUUCCUCUCUCCUCUCCUUCUAAAUGCUGAAUUUGAGUUUAUUAUGGAUUUGUCGAUGAAGUUGUGCAUGUGUUUGGAGAAUGAGAUUGAGCUGGUGCUCUGUUCGGUAGAGCAUGAGCGCUGCAUCAACAAAAAGGAACAUGUAAACGAGGCUGCAUAAACAGCUUAGAGUAAGAAUCACCCAAAAGUUGCCAUUGUUGCAACUGAGGGAGGAAGGAGCAUUAGUUUUCUGGGAGAUGAUGAAGAAGAAGACACGUUCCCAAACGAAAUAAGCCGCAAUGACGGUGUGUAAUUUGGUGUCGUAGAGAUUUCUAAGUUGGUCAAUCCAUAGACAAAGAACCCUUAUAUAUAUUAUGUGUAGAUGUGGGCUUAAAUCACCCUUGUACUUGUAUAGAUUUCCUCCAGUUAUUUCUGUAAUAUUCCAAUGAUAGGUGCAUUAAUUCUUUUUAAAUAAUCUUUUGUUUAUAUCAUCACAAUGACAUUUUGCCACUUUUAAUUUGAUUUGCAAUUUGGAGAUUGGAUUAUUUUAUUGA